rnacentral:rRNA from 1 species
CCUACGGGAGGCUGCAGUGGGGGAUAUUGGACAAUGGGGGGAACCCUGAUCCAGCGACGCCGCGUGAGUGAAGAAGUAUUUCGGUAUGUAAAGCUCUGUCAGCAGGGAAGAAAGAAAUGACGGUACCUGACCAAGAAGCCCCGGCUAACUACGUGCCAGCAGCCGCGGGAAUACGUAGGGGGCAAGCGUUAUCCGGAAUUACUGGGUGUAAAGGGAGCGUAGACGGUUAAGUAAGUCUGGAGUGAAAGGCCGGGGCCCAACCCCGGGACUGCUCUGGAAACUAUUGAACUUGAGUGCAGGAGAGGUAAGCGGAAUUCCUAGUGUAGCGGUGAAAUGCGUAGAUAUUAGGAAGAACACCAGUGGCGAAGGCGGCUUACUGGACUGUAACUGACGUUGAGGCUCGAAAGCGUGGGGAGCAAACAGGAUUAGAUACCCGAGUAGUC